rnacentral:lncRNA from 1 species
GCGCGGGUGUUCGGCUACAUCACUGGGGCGCCAUGGUGCCUGGAGCUGGGCAGUUUUCUCAUCAGAGUGGGGACUGGUAAGAGUGACCUCCCCGCCAGGUUCUGUGUGUUGCCGGCUGAAGAAGGGUAGCUGAAAAAUUCAGACCCAGCACAGUGUUUAUGUUGGUCAAAAAUAGAAAACUAUGUCUGGCGCGGCCGAGGCGGGAGGACCCUUCAGGCCAAGAGCAGCCUAGCAACAUGGCGCAACCCCAUCUCUGUAGUCCUACCUCAGCCCCCCAGCUACUUGAACCCAAAGGUUCAAGGCUCCAGUGAGCUAUGAUCCCACCACAGCAUUCCAGCCUGCGAGAUUGAGAUGAUGAUUAUUCCCCACCUUCUAAGAGACAAAGACCAACGAGCCACCACAGCCACCAGUCCCAGAACCCGCCAAUGCUGGGGAACGGAAAAUGAGGGAGUUCAACUCUGGCCCUCACAAUCCAGUGGAGGAGACGCAACUCAUCUGCCUCUGUCCCUCUGGGCACGCCUCAUGCCAGGUGCAUCUGUGGACAGGGGCCAUGCUCCUGGGCUUCCAAAGUUGGAGAAAGCUGCCAGGCUCAGGUCUGAAGGCCAGAAUUCUACAGUAAGUCCUACUGAGUCAAGGUGGGAGCAGGGUCGGUAGCUUCCGAGGCUCUGCGGGAGAAUCUGUUUCCUGGCCGUAGAGGUGGCCUGCACUCCUCAGCCUGUGCUGCCCGUCUCGAAUGACUGGAGUUUCCUGCUUCUGUCACUACACCUCCCACCCUCUCCAUCACCUGCUCUGCUCUUACAAGGAUCCGAAGAAAUGGAAUCAUCGUAUCGCUGAUCUACGUAAACAAACUGAAGAAUUGUCUGAAAGAAAAUAUGACAUGAACUUAUGAAUUCAACAGGUGAAGAUUUACAACUUGAUAAAUCAACUUUGUCAGCUCGAGCUGUAAAAGCCAAAGGUCCGGUGAUGAUCCCAUACCCUUUUUUCCAGUCUCAUGUUGAAGAUUUUUAUGUAGAAGGCCUUCCCAAAGGAAUUUUUUUUUUUUUUUUUUGAGAUGGAGUUUUCACUCUUAUCGCCCAGGCUGGGGUGCAAUGGCGCAACCUUGCUGGUCACUGCAACCUCUGCCUCCUGGGUUCAAGAAAUUCUCCUGCCUUAGCCUCCCAAGUCACUGGGAUUACAGGUGCCCACCACCACACCAGGCUAAUUUUUGUAUUUUUAGUGGAGAUGCGGUUUCACCAUGUUGGCCGGGCCAGUCUCGAACUCCUGACGUCAAGUGAUCUUCCCGCCUCGACUCCUGAUAUCAAGUGAUCUUCCCGCCUCGGCCUCCCAGAGUGCUGAGAUUACAGACGUGAACCCAUGCCUGGCCAGGAAUUUUGUUUUUUAGGAAGGCUUUCUACUAAUGGAAUUCCUGGCCUUGAGAGGAUGUUACUUUAGAAGGAAAGGAUUUUUUUGUUAUUAAAAGAGCCACCUAAGCUGAAGAUUCCCUUGAGAACAAGUACUGUCCCUAGUUUCCCAGUGCUGGAAUAUAGAAAAUGGAUGGACAAGUAAAUCCCACUCAGCACCCAUAGUCCAGGCAUGGGGACCUCAACACACCUGAGCCCCAGACAUCACCUUUCAUUCUGGACCUACCAUGAAAGACUUCUGAAUCCAGGAAGAGAAACUGACUGGGCAACAUGUUAUUCAGAGAUGGCAUCUUGCUCUGUUGCUUAGGCUACAGUACAGUGACAUGAUCAUGGUUCACUGUAGCCUCAAACUCCUGGGCUCAAGUGGUUCUCUCACUUCAGUCUCCCAAGUAGCUGGGACUACAGACAUGUGCCACCAUGUCCAGGAAGUGAGCUCACAAUGACUCAAGCUGCCACAUACUGUUGAUUGUGAAAUGCCAGUUGAAGCAUAUGUCCUGCGAGCUUGGGGGUGCUACAAGUUGACCACUGCAGCAGUAAAGAUGACUCUGAAGAAUGGCGUGGGAUGGUUCCUUUCAAAUGCACUUGAGCAGCGGUCUCCAACCACAGGGCCACAGAGCUGGAGCUGGAUCUACCAUGAAAGACUUGUGAAUCCAGGAAGAGAGACUGACUGGGCAACAUGUUAUUCAGGUGGGAACAUCCAGUUGCAGGAAAACAAGCUUAACACGCCCACUGAUUCUACAUUAUGGGUCUCCCUCUGUUGUCCAAGGCUGGAGUGUAGUAGUGCUAUCGCAGCUGACUGCAGCCUCAACCUUCCAGGCUGAAGCGAUCCUCCCACCUCAACCUCCCACGUGGCUGAGACUACAGGUGCUUGCCACUAUGCCCAACUAAUAUUUGGAAUUUUCGUAUACGUGGAUUCCAGAGGGGUGACAGCAAAACGGUCUCCCUCUGUUGUCCAAGGCUGGAGUGUAGUAGUGCUAUCGCAGCUGACUGCAGCCUCAACCUUCCAGGCUGAAGCGAUCCUCCCACCUCAACCUCCCACGUGGCUGAGACUACAGGUGCUUGCCACUAUGCCCAACUAACAUUUGGAAUUUUCGUAUACGUGGAUUCCAGAGGGGUGACAGCGAAACGUGAGUGGGACCAUCCAGUUGCAGGAAAACAAGCUUAACACGCCCACUGAUUCUACAUUAUGCUCCUACCUCCCGGCAGCCUCUCCAGGCCCAGAACUUUCUCCAGUCAGCCUCUACAGACCAAGCUCAUGACUCACAAUGGCCUAUUUAGGCCCAUACCCUACGUCACGGCAGCCUCCGCAGAUGAGCCUACUGCCUCACAACAGCCUCCACAGGCACAGCUCCAUCGUUACAAUGGCCUCUUUAGACCCAGCUCCUGCCUCCCAGCCUUCUCUCCAGGCCCUGAACAUUCUCAGGUCUCCCUCUGUUGUCCAAGGCUGGAGUGUAGUAGUGCUAUCGCAGCUGACUGCAGCCUCAACCUUCCAGGCUGAAGCGAUCCUCCCACCUCAACCUCCCACGUGGCUGAGACUACAGGUGCUUGCCACUAUGCCCAACUAACAUUUGGAAUUUUCGUAUACGUGGAUUCUAGAGGGGUGACAGCGAAACGUGGGACCAUUCAGUUGCAGGAAAACAAGCUUAACACGCCCACUAAUUCUACAUUAUGCUCCUACCUCCCGGCAGCCUCUCCAGGCCCAGAACUUUCUCCAGUCAGCCUCUACAGACCAAGCUCAUGACUCACAAUGGCCUAUUUAGGCCCAUACCCUAUGUCACGGCAGCCUCCGCAGAUGAGGCUACUGCCUCACAACAGCCUCCACAGGCACAGCUCCAUCGUUACAAUGGCCUCUUUAGACCCAGCUCCUGCCUCCCAGCCUUCUCUCCAGGCCCUGAACUUUCUCAAGUCGACCUCACCAGGCCCAGCUCAUGCUUCUUUGCAGCCUCUCCAGGCCCAGCUCCUGCAUCUUGGUGGCCCCUCCAGGCCCAGCCUCUGCCUCCCGUCAGCCUCUACAGUCCCAAAGUCUGCCUCACAGCAGAUUCUUCACGCCCAGCAUCUACCUCACUGUGGACCCCCCAAGCCAAGCUCCCAACCUUUCAGCAGCUUCUACACACCUAGCUCCUGCCACCCAGUGGCCUCUUUAGGCCAAGCUCAUGCUUCACAAGGGCCUUUCCAGGCCCAACUUUUGUCUCAUGGCAACCUUCCCUGGCCAGAUUCCUGCCUGUCUCCCAGCAGCCUAGACAGGCCCAGGUCUUGCCUCACACUGGCCUCUCUACAUCCAGCUUAUGCCUCACGGUGGCCUCUCCACGCCCAACUCCUGUCCCAGGACGUCAUCUCCGGGCCCAAAACUUACUCAAGUCAGACUCUCUAGUCCCAACUGCUGCCUCCUGGUGGCCUAUGAAGGCCCAAAAUCUCCUCAAGUUGACCUGUCCAGGCCCAGCUCCUGCCUCCUGUCAGCGUCUACAGGCCCAACCUCUGCCUCAUGGGGGCUUCUCCAGGCCCACCUCUUCCUCUUGGCUGGGUCUACAGGCACAACUGCUGCCUCACAACAGCCUUUUUUGGCCCAGUUCCUGUCCAGCUCAUGGCGGCCAAUGUAGGCCCAAAACUUCCUCAAGUCAAACUCUCCAGGCCCACCUUCUGCUUCCCGGUGGCAUCAACAGGCCCAGCUUUGACUUGAGAACAGCCUCUGCAGGCCCUGCUCUUGCCUCCCAGGGGCUUUUUCCAGGCCCAGCUCUUGCCUCAUGGCAGCUGCCCCAGGCCAAAUUUCUGCCUGCCUGCCAGCAGCCUCAACAGGCACAGCUCCUCCCUCACAGUGGCCCAUUUAGGCCCAACUCAUGACUGUGAGUCCAUUUCCAGGCCUAGUGCCUGCCUCGUGGCUGACUCUUGAAGCCCAAAACUUCCUCAAAUCAGGCUUUUGCCCAACUUCUGUCUACUGUCGGACUCUACAGGUCAGCCUCUGCCUCACAGUGGACCCUCCAGACCCAGAUGGUGUCUCACUGUGGCAUCCUCAGGCGAAGCUCCUGCCUUUCGGCAGCCUCUCCAGGCCCAGCUCCUCCUGCCUCCCAGUGGCCUCUUUCGGCCCAGCCCAGCUCAUGCCUCCCGGCGGCCUUCCCAAGCCCCGCUUUUGACUUUCGGUGGCCUCUGCAGGCCUCGACAAGGCCCAGCCUCCUGCCUCCCGAAGGCCUGCACAGGCCCAGCCUCUGCCUCACAGCGGACUCUCCACGCCCAGCUAGCUGUUGCUUCACUGCGGCCUCCCGAGUCCAAAGCUCCUGCCUCUCGGCCGCUUCGGCAGGCCCAGCUCCCGCCUGCCAGUGGCCUCUUCAGGCCCAUGGGGCUCAUUCCUGACAACAGCCUUUCCAGGCCCAGUUUUUCCCUUCCGGCGGCCUCUCCGGGCCCAGAACCUCCUCAAGUCGGCCUCUCCAGACCCACUUGCACCCUCCGGGCGUUCUCUCCGGGCCCAGCUCUUCUUCCUGGUUGGGUCUCCAGGCCCGAUUCCUGCCUCUCAACAACCUCUUUGGACUCAGUGCCUACCCAUCUCCUGGCGGCCUUGGUCGGCCCACAGCUUCCUCAAGCCAAGCUCCCCAGGCCCAGGUCAGGCCUCACGGUGGCCUCUCCAGGAUGAGCUCCUGCCCUCCGAUGGCAUCUCCAGGCCCCAAAUGGUCUCCGGUCGGUGGGCUCCUCCACGCCAAGGUUGGGCCUCCCGGCGACCGCCGCAGGCCCAAGUUGUCCUGAAGUCAGGCUCUCCCGGCCCUGCCUCCCAGCAAGUAAGCAAGCUCUUUUGGCUCAACUCCUGCCCAGCUCCCAACCGCCUUUGUAGGCCCCGAACUUUCUCCAGCCAAGCUCUGAGGGCCCACCUCCUGCCUCCUGGUGGCCUGUACAGUUCUAGCACUGGUUGGAGAACAGCCUCUGCAGGCCCCUCCCUUGCCUCCCAGGGGCCUCUCCAGGCCCAGCUCUUGCCCCCACGGCGGCCUCCCGGGGCCAAGUCCCUGCCUGCCUCCCAGCAGCCCGCGUGCGGCCCAGCUCCUCCCUCACGGUGGCCUGUUGAUGCCCAACUCAUGCCUCUGGCACCCUGCCCAGAGGCGUGAGCCCCUGCCUCACACUGGCUCCUCCCACGCUGAGAGAGGUCAGUGUGAGCCCUUGCCUCACACCGGCCCCUCCCACGCGGACAGAGGUCAGCGUGAGCCCCUUGUCUCACACCGGCCCCUCCCACGCUGAGAGAGGUCAAUGUGAGCCCUUGCCUCACACCGGCCCCUCCCACGCGGACAGAGGUCAGCGUGAUCCCCUGCCUCAACAGGCCACCGUGAGGGAGGAACAGGAUCGCACUCGGGCUGCUGGGAGGUAGGCAGGGACUUGGGCCUGGGAGGUCGCGGUGGGGCGAGAGCUGGGCCUGGAGACUCCCCUGGGAGGCAACAGCGGGGUCUGCAGACGCCCUUCUCCAGCCGGAGCUGGGACUGUUCAGUCACUGGGAGAAGGGAUGUGGGUCUGAAGAGCUUGGUUGCAGAAACUUCGGGGUCUACAAACGCAGGCGGGAGCUGAGCCAAAAGAGCUUGUUUGCUGGGAGGUGGGAGAUGCAGCCAGGAGGAACAGCUGGGCAAUGCGGGAGGCAGAGGCCAGGCCUCCUCAAGUUGGCCUCUCAGACCCACUUGCAGCCUCCCGGCGCCCCCUCCGGGCCCAGCUCUUCCUCCCGGCUGCAUCUCCAGGCCGGACUCUGGCCCGACUCCAGGUCCCAACAACGUCUUUGGACUCAGCUCCUGCCCAGCUCCCAGCGGCCCUGGUAGGCCCACAACUUCCCUAAGCCAAGCUCCCCAGGCCCAGCUCAGGCCUCGCGGUGGCCUCUCCAGGCUCAGCUCCUGGCCCUCCGAUGACAUCUGCAGGCCCCAAAUGGCCUCCGGUCGGUGGGCUCCUCUAGGCCCAGCUUGGGCCUCCCGGCGGCCUCUGCAGGCCCAAAUCGUCCCGAAGUCAGUCUCUCCAGGCUUAGCUCCAGCCUCCCGGCGGCCUCUGCAGGCCCAAGUCGUCCUCAAGUCGGCCUGGAAGUGGGCCUGGAAGAGCAGCAAGUCGGCCUCCCUGGGCCCAGCUCCGUCCUCUCGACGGCCUCUCCAGGUGCAAAACUUCCUCGAGUCAGCCUCUCCAGGCCCAGCUCCUCCUGCCUCCCAGUGGCCUCUUUCGGCCCAGCCCAGCUCAUGGCUCUCGGCGGCCUUCCCAGGCCCCGCUUUUGACUUUUGGCAGCCUCUUCAGGCGCAGAACUUGAUCUCCAGUCGGCCUUUGCAGGCCCGGCCUCCUGCCUCUCGAAGGCCUGCACGGGCCCGGCCUCGGCCUCGGCCUCACAGCAGACUCUCCACGCCCAGCUAGCUCUCGCCUCACUGCGGCCUCCCCAGUCCAAAGCUCCUGCCUUUCGGCCACUUCGGCAGGUCCAGCUCCUGCCUGCCAGUGGCCUCUUUAGGCCCAGCUCAUUCCUCACGUCGGCCAUUCCAGGCCCCGUUUUUCCCUUCCGGCAGCCUCUUGGCCUCUAAUUUGUUUAUCUUUUGUGUAUAAAUCCCAAAAUAUUGAAUUUUGGAAUAUUUCCACCAUUAUGUAAAUAUUUUGAUAGGUAAUUUAUUUGGAGUGAGUUUCUGCGCCAAGCCCGAAUUUUUUAUUUUAUUUUCCUUAUUAUUUGGUGUUAAACAGGUUUAAUGACGGUCAUGGCAACUUUUUGGCACAAUGAAAAAUAUCGCCCACGA